UUAAAAGAUUUGCAUUGUCUAGGAAAGGUUUAUCGCUCAGUAUGCUGGAAGUCGAAAACAUAAAGGACAAUGCAAGAUCUGUUGAAGAAAGGAAUCUGCAAAUGUUGACUCAGUGGAAAUACAAGAAUGGUGAAUCAGCAACAACUGAAAAAAUCUGGCAACUAGUAGAUGGUUUCCUGAAUGAAAAUGAUGAAUCUGACCAAGAUUCUCCUCAUCCAACAACACUCGCG